rnacentral:rRNA from 1 species
UACGGAGGGGACUAGCGUUGUUCGGAAUUACUGGGCGUAAAGGGCGCGUAGGCGGCCGCUUGCGUCGGAUGUGAAAGCCCGGGGCUCAACCCCGGAACGGCAUCCGAUACGGGGCGGCUCGAGACCGAGAGAGGUGAGUGGAAUACCCAGUGUAGAGGUGAAAUUCGUAGAUAUUGGGUGGAACACCGGUGGCGAAAGCGGCUCACUGGCUCGGUUCUGACGCUGAGGCGCGAAAGCGUGGGGAGCAAACAGG